GUGCAGCAGUCGAGAAUUUUUCUCAAUGGGGGAAACCCUGAAGGAGCGACGCCGCGUGGAGGAUGAAGGUCUUCGGGUUGUAAACUCCUGUCAUUUGAGAACAAGGUGCACAUGUUAACUGCAUGUGCAUUGAUAGUAUCAGAAGAGGAAGGGACGGCUAACUCUGUGCCAGCAGCCGCGGUAAUACAGAGGUCCCAAGCGUUGUUCGGAUUCAUUGGGCGUAAAGGGUGUGUAGGUGGCGCCGUAAGUCGGGUGUGAAAUCUCGGGGCUUAACUCCGAAACUGCAUUCGAUACUGCGGUGCUUGAGGACUGGAGAGGAGACUGGAAUUCAUGGUGUAGCAGUGAAAUGCGUAGAGAUCAUGAGGAAGACCAGUGGCGAAGGCGGGUCUCUGGACAGUUCCUGACACUGAGACACGAAGGCCAGGGGAGCAAACGGGAUUAGAUACCCCGGUAGU
rnacentral:rRNA from 1 species